AUACUUAGCUGGCGGGGAAGAUACCAUGAUCACGAAGGUGCUUUUCCCAGGGUGAGGCUUACCCGUUGCACUCUGGAUGUGCUGACCCUGCAGUUUCCCCAAAUGUGGGAAACCCGACUGCAUAAUUUAUAGUGGUGGGGGACUGCAUUCACGCUCUCCCCUG
rnacentral:snRNA from 1 species